UACAGAGGGUGCAAGCGUUGUUCGGAAUUAUUGGGCGUAAAGCGCGUGUAGGCGGCUUUGCAAGUCGGGUGUGAAAGCCCUCAGCUCAACUGUGGGCGUGCGGGCGAUACGGGCAGACUAGAGUGCGGUAGGGGAGACUGGAAUUCCUGGUGUAGCGGUGAAAUGCGCAGAUAUCAGGAGGAACACCGGUGGCGAAGGCGGUUCUCUGGGCAUUACCUGACGCUGAGGAGCGAAAGUGUGGGGAGGCGAACAGG
rnacentral:rRNA from 1 species